UGGAAAGACAUCAGUCGCGCGAGACGUCAGAGCUGCACCACAAUGAUCGGUCAACUGGCUGCUUUGAUUCUUCUUUGUACGAUGUCUCUGAUUGAAUCGGCAGAGGAUCCUCAUCUAAUCUCUUUGGAUGUGGUAGAAGUUGGUGGAAAUUAAGUCUUUAACUUGAUUUUUGGCAAACUAACAGUUACUGAACCUUUUAUAGACACACGGUUCACAGCAACAAAAGAGGAUACUCAUUAUCUUUUCACAAUCAGAAAUGUCAGAAAAGAGGACGAAGCAACAUAUUUCUGUCUCACUGGAUCAACGUAUUCACAGAGUUUUGGCAUUGGCAUCUUCUUGGCUGUGAAUGAUCAGCGGAAAUCUGUCUACGUGAAGCAAAUUCCGAAGACCAAGUCAGUCCAGCCCCGCGACUCAGUGACUCUCCAGUGUUCACUCCUCUCCAAAAACAACGAAAGCGCAGAUCAGUGUCCAGGUGAACACAAUGUUUCCUGGUUCAGAUCUGGAUCAGGAAAAUCCCAUCCAAGCAUCAUUUACACUCACAGUGAGGAACAAAAGGAACGCAGUUGUGUCUUCAGUCUGUCCAAAACUAUACACAACUCCUCUGAUACCGGGACGUAUUACUGUGCUGUGGCUACAUGUGGACAGAUCCUGUUUGGAGAAGGAACUACAGUGGAGACAAGAUCAAAACUGGACGCAGUUGUCCUCGUACUUGGAGCACUGUUGGCCUUCUCUUUGACUUUAAUCGUCAUCCUUACUUUCUACGUAAAUCGAGGAGUUUGUCGACACUGCAAAGUAGCACCGUGUACCACCCGUAAUCCUAAAACCAACGAGGCGACAGUGGAUGAAUCAACUGACCUGGAUGGAGACGAAGAGGCGGUAAACUAUGCAGCACUGAAUUACUCCAAAAGAAAAGUGAAAAAAGUGAAGCAAAAGCAAGAGUUACCACAGGAGUGUGUGUACUCCGCUGUGAGAGCAAACCACACACAGCACCACGCCCCCGUAUGAGCUUUGGUUUAGCUCAGCUUUGCAUGUUUUUAACAAAUGUUGUGCUGUUAAUUACUUUGCUUUAUAUUUUGCUUUUAAAAGGCUAGUUGUUGAUGUGACAAGCAUGAAAGACCACUGCUUGUUGCAGAGGCAUGAGGAGGCGACUGAGAAUGGCUCAAGUUGAAAUCAAUAAACUUUUCAAACACCCGGAGAGAAUAUGUGGGUAAUCAAUGUUCAUCAAAAAACGAUGCUGCAUCAAAGAGACUACACACAUGUAAUUGCUGAUUCUUCUGCAAAUAAAUUGACCAUAAUGCUAUUAAUUUUA